rnacentral:rRNA from 1 species
UGCUACAGUCAUAUCACCCAGCAUCAAGCAGGGCUGAGCCUGGUCAGUGCCUGUACGGGAGACCACAUGAGAAAACUAGGUUGCUGUUGGAA